rnacentral:rRNA from 1 species
GUUAGGAAUAUUGGACAAUGGGCGCAAGCCUGAUCCAGCCAUGCCGCGUGAGUGAUGAAGGCCUUCGGGUUGUAAAGCUCUUUAGCCGAUGAUUAUAAUGACUGUAGUCGGAAAAUAAGCCCCGGCUAACUUCGUGCCAGCAGCCGCGGUAAUACGAAGGGGGCGAGCGUUAUUCGGAAUCACUGGGCGUAAAGCGUGCGUAGGCGGUUUUGUAAGUUAGGAGUGAAAGCCCAGGGCUCAACCCUGGAAUUGCUCUUAAAACUACAAGGCUAGAAUGUCGGAGAGGAUAGCGGAAUUUCCAGUGUAGCAGUGAAAUGCGUAGAUAUUAGAAGGAACACCAGUGGCGUAAGCGGCUAUCUGGACGACUAUUGACGCUGAGGCACGAAAGCGUGGGGAUCAAACAGGAUUAGAAACCCCAGUAGUCC